GGAGUCGACCGGGCAGUCGCCGCUUCAACGCGAGGCGGAGGAAAGUCCGGGCUCCAAAGGGCAGGGUGCCAGGUAACGCCUGGGGGGCGCGAGCCCACGGAAAGUGCCACAGAAAACAGACCGCCUCGAGGCCGCGCGGCGAGUGUCCGGACGGACCUGAGGUAAGGGUGAAAAGGUGCGGUAAGAGCGCACCGCGCCGGUGGUGACACCGGUGGCAGGGUAAACCCCACCCGGAGCAAGACCAAAUAGGGGAGCAUGUCGCCGAUCGGCGACGAGGCGUGGCCCGCGUCGCUUCCGGGUAGGUCGCUACAGGCGUACGGCGACGUGCGUCGCAGAUGAAUGGCUGCCUUCGACAGAACCCGGCUUACAGGUCGGCUCCCGCU
rnacentral:RNase_P_RNA from 1 species